GCAGCCUUCGGUGGUGUGGAAACGGGUGAGGGGUGAGGCGGCGGAUAAGGACUUGGACAAAUCUUUUUGCAGAGAUGUACGUUUCUGCCUCAGGAAGCUGGUGUAAGGAUAAGAAUGACUCAAAGAUCCCCUUAGAAUUGGGAAACGGGAGCUUCAUACUGCUCAGGAAAUCACACUGAAACCGAGGCCCAGGGCAACAGUGGAAACUCAGGAGUGAAAAGCAAGAAUCUAAGUCACGGGACGUUCCAUUGCCCUCAUGCUGUACCCUGGGAACUCACUUUGGCUGCAUAAAAACUCCUGGGCGCAGUGGCUCAUGCCUGUAAUCCCAGUGUGUCCGGAAUUGGUGGGUUCUUGGUCUCACUGACUUCAAGAAUGAAGCCACGGACCCUUGCGGUGAGUGUUACAGCUCUUAAGUUGGCGCGUCUGCGGUUUGCUCCUUCUGAUGUUCGGUUGUGUUCAGAGUUUCUUCCUUCUGGUGGGUUCGUGGUCUCGCUGGUUCAGGAGUGAAGCUGCAGACUUUUGCGGUGAGUGUUACCGCUCUUAAGGCAGCGCGUUUGGAGUUGUUCGUUUUUCCCGGUGGGCUCGUGGUCUCGCUGGCUUCAGGAAUGAAGCUGCAGACCUUCGUGGUGAGUGUUACAGCUCAUAAAAGCAGUGUGGACCCAAAGAGUGAGCAAUAGCAAGAUUUAUUGCAAAGAGAGAAAGAACAAAGCUUCCACAGCGUGGAAGGGGACCCGAUUGGGUUGCCACUGCUGGCUCGGGCAGCCUGCUAUUAUUCUCUUAUCUGGCCCCACCCACAUCCUGCUGAUUGGUAGAGUCCAGUGGUCUGUUUUGACAGGGCACUGAUUGGUGUGUUUACAAUCCUUGAGCUGGACACAAAGUUUCUCCAGGUCCCCACCAGAUUAGCUAGAUACAGAGUGUGGACAGAAAGGUU
rnacentral:lncRNA from 10 species